UUCCAGACUCCUACGGGAGGCAGCAGUGGGGGAUAUUGCACAGUGGGGGAAACCCUGAUGCAGCGACGCCGCGUGUGGGAAGACGGUCUUCUGGAUUGUAAACCACUGUCCCCAGGGACGAAAAUGACGGUACCUGGGGAGGAAGCUCCGGCUAACUACGUGCCAGCAGCCGCGGUAAUACGUAGGGAGCAAGCGUUGUCCGGAUUUACUGGGUGUAAAGGGGGCGCAGACGGCGAUGCAAGCCAGGAGUGAAAGCCCGGGGCCCAACCCCAGGACUGCUCUUGGAACUGCGUGGCUGGAGUGCAGGAGGGGCAGGCGGAAUUCCUGGUGUAGCGGUGAAAUGCGUAGAUAUCAGGAGGAACACCGGUGGCGAAGGCGGCCUGCUGGACUGCAACUGACGUUGAGGCCCGAAAGCGUGGGGAGCAAACAGGAUUAGAUACCCUUGUA
rnacentral:rRNA from 1 species